CAAAAAUUCUGAAAAAGAAGAAGCAAUGACUGCAGAAGACCAGAUAGCAUUGAGGGACUUUGCUAUACCCAAGGUGACUGAGCUGCAGUCGAGUAUCACCAGGCCUGCUAUAGCUACGAAUACAUUCGAGAUUAAUCCUGGGACUAUUCAGAUGAUCCAAAACUCGGUUCAAUUUGGGGGGCUUGCAAAUGAUGAUCCGAACGAGCAUUUGAUCAG
rnacentral:lncRNA from 1 species